rnacentral:lncRNA from 1 species
AUGGAGGACCUGCAGCAUCUUCAGGAGGAUGUGAAGGAGUUGAACAGCUCUCUGCUGCUCCAUCAGUCGUGGUCGAGUGAGCAGAUCCAGAGCGUGCGGUUCGUGCUGUCCAACCUGAGCAGAUGGGUGUCAGCGCUGGACCAGAGCUCCUCAGGAGACACGCCGCCGCCGGCCGUCCGUCCGCUCCAGACUCUUCAGACCGCUGCAGACGUCGCUGAUGCUGGUUCCUCAGCCUCCCGCCGCCCCAGGUUUCUGUCCCGCAGACAUUAUAAACGAGGACAGAUGUCCUCCCGCAGCACAGAGGUGUUUCCCGGGGCAGAGUCUGAGAGAGGUGCGUAA